AGUGAAGUUAUGCUUCACUUGAAAUAAAUCUCUAGCUGUCUAUAAAGUGGGCAUCUAUAUAAUCUAUGUUGGGAUUGAGACAACUUCAAGUGACGGCCCCUUGUUUUUUUCCGACGGUGAUUGAUUAUUCCGGCGAGUUCUUGGAGGCAAAUGGUGUUUGAAACAAAGGUUGGAGUAGGCCUGAAGCAGUUUGUUGUACAAGAUCUAUUACCUAGUAGGCUGAUUGGGUCCACGAUCAUAAAAAAACGAAAAAGAAAGCCCAACUGACUCUUUUGUUUAAGAAUUAGAUGUAUCCAAUUUGGUGUACGACACUAGUCAAGAACUUGUUAGGCUUUUGCUUAUCUACUGUGUGAUUUUUAUUUUUGGAAAAAUAUUACAUUUUUUGGGUUUGUAGUUAAUUAGGUUUUUGUUUAAAGUAA